rnacentral:rRNA from 1 species
GUGGGGAAUUUUGGACAAUGGGGGCAACCCUGAUCCAGCCAUUCCGCGUGAGUGAAGAAGGCCUUCGGGUUGUAAAGCUCUUUCGGCAGGAACGAAACGGUGAGCUCUAACAUAGCUCGCUAAUGACGGUACCUGAAGAAGAAGCACCGGCUAACUACGUGCCAGCAGCCGCGGUAAUACGUAGGGUGCGAGCGUUAAUCGGAAUUACUGGGCGUAAAGCGUGCGCAGGCGGUUGUGUAAGACAGGUGUGAAAUCCCCGGGCUUAACCUGGGAACUGCGCUUGUGACUGCACGGCUAGAGUAUGGCAGAGGGGGAUGGAAUUCCGCGUGUAGCAGUGAAAUGCGUAGAUAUGCGGAGGAACACCGAUGGCGAAGGCAAUCCCCUGGGCCUGCACUGACGCUCAUGCACGAAAGCGUGGGGAGCAAACAGGAUUAGAAACCCUGGUAGUCC